UACGUAGGGUGCGAGCGUUAAUCGGAAUUACUGGGCGUAAAGCGUGCGCAGGCGGUUUUUUAAGACAGAUGUGAAAUCCCCGGGCUUAACCCGGGAACUGCCUUUGUGACUGCAAGACUAGAGUGCGGCAGAGGGGGGUAGAAUUCCACGUGUAGCGGUGAAAUGCGUAGAUAUGUGGAGGAAUACCGAUGGCGAAGGCAGCCCCCUGGGUCGGCACUGACGCUCAGGCGCGAAAGCGUGGGGAGCAAACAGG
rnacentral:rRNA from 1 species